rnacentral:rRNA from 1 species
UUCAAGUUUUUAAGAGCAAACGGUGAAUGCCUUGGCAUCUGGAGCCGAAGAAGGACGUCGUAAUCUGCGAUAAGCCUCGGGGAGCU